UCUCCGUAGGUGAACCUGCGGAGGGAUCAUUACAGAGUUCAUGCCCUACCGGGUAGAUCUCCCACCCUAUGUUAUUAUUACUUUGUUGCUUUGGCGGGCCGUUAGGCUCCGGCCCGACUACCGGCCCCGGCUGGUAAGCGCCCGCCAGAGGACCCAAAACCCUGAAUAUUAGUGUCGUCUGAGUACUAUAUAAUAGCUAAAACUUUCAACAACGGAUCUCUUGGUUCUGGCAUUGAUGAAGAACGCAGC
rnacentral:misc_RNA from 1 species